rnacentral:lncRNA from 13 species
AGGAAGCUGGGCUGGAAAUACAGCUGAGAGCCACUGUUGACAGAUGGAUGCCUUCUUAAUCACAGGCUCUGUGGGUAAAGGGAAAGCCUUGCCUGGGCAGCCCCUCCCACCUCCACCCACCCCCUCCAUUGAUUCACAAACCUGGAAUACUCUGGAGGAGGCUGGGAAAGUCCAUCCCCAGGGAAUAUCACUUUUUUCCUCUUCCAUGCCUCUCACAGGACACCCACAAGACCAGGAGGCAGAACGUGAACAGGGAGGUCUUUCUUAUUACUACUUUUUGAGUGUCAGCAAGGUUGCUAGGAGACUGGACAGCCAAAGAAACAAUGCCCUUUCCUGUGACCACUAUCAAGAUCUGUUCAGGAUUCCUGCCAGCCUGUUAGCCUUUAUCGUUCAGUCAUUUUAGACCUCAAAGUGGACAUUCCAUCAAAAGAUCAGGUUCUAUCCUUUCACUGGAAUGCAAG